CCUACGGGAGGCAGCAGUGAGGAAUAUUGGUCAAUGGACGAGAGUCUGAACCAGCCAAGUAGCGUGAAGGAUGACUGCCCUAUGGGUUGUAAACUUCUUUUAUAUGGGAAUAAAAUGUUCCACGUGUGGGAUUUUGUAUGUACCAUAUGAAUAAGGAUCGGCUAACUACGUGCCAGCAGCCGCGGUAAUACGGAGGAUCCGAGCGUUAUCCGGAUUUAUUGGGUUUAAAGGGAGCGUAGGUGGAUUGUUAAGUCAGUUGUGAAAGUUUGCGGCUCAACCGUAAGAUUGCAGUUGAAACUGGCAGUCGUGAGUACAGUAGAGGUGGGCGGAAUUCGGGGUGUAGCGGUGAAAUGCUUAGAUAUCACGAAGAACUCCGAUUGCGAAGGCAGCUCACUGGACUGCAACUGACACUGAGGCUCGAAAGUGUGGGUAUCAAACAGGAUUAGAUACCCGGGUAGUC
rnacentral:rRNA from 1 species